rnacentral:tRNA from 1 species
GGACACAUAGCUCAGUCGGUAGAGCAGCUGACUCUUAAUCAGCGGGUCCUUGGUUCGAGCCCAAGUGUGUCCACCA